rnacentral:rRNA from 1 species
AGUUACUUGACGUAGACCCGAAACCGGGCGACCUACCCAUGAGCAGGAUGAAGCGAAAGUAAAAUUUCGUGGAGGUCCGAACCCACGAGCGUUGAAAAGCUCGGGGAUGACUUGUGGGUAGCGGUGAAAUUCCAAUCGAGCCCGGAGAUAGCUGGUUCUCCCCGAAAUAGCUUUAGGGCUAGCCUCAAGGUGAGAGAUACGGAGGUAGAGCACUGAAUGUCCUAGGGGGUAUUGCACCUACCGAAGACUAUCAAACUCCGAAUGCCGUCAUCUUAUACUUGGGAGUCAGACUGUGGGUGAUAAGAUUCAUAGUCGAAAGGGCAACAGCCCAGAUCGUCAGCUAAGGUCCCUAAAUGUAAGUUAAGUGGUAAAGGAUGUGGGAUUGCACAGACAACCAGGAUGUUGGCUUAGAAGCAGCCACUCAUUCAAAGAGUGCGUAAUAGCUCACUGGUCGAGUGAUCCUGCGCCGAAGAUUUCCGGGGCUAAAACUUACUACCGAAGCUACGGCAUCAGUAAUGAUGGGUAGGGGAGCUUCCCAUACGGGUUGAAGCAUGACCGUAAGGACAUGUGGACAGUAUGGGAGUGAGAAUGUUGGCAUGAGUAGCGAGAUGUGGGUGAGAAUCCCACAGGCCGUAAACCCAAGGUUUCCAGGGGAAGGUUCGUC